UCCGGCUUAUCACCGGCAGUUUUCUCAGAGUUCUCGCCAUUACGCGUUAGCAACAGAGAAUGAGGGUUGCGCUCGUUGCGGGACUUAACCCAACAUCUCACGACACGAGCUGACGACAGCCAUGCAGCACCUGUGCACCUCCCACCCGAAGUGAAAGAAAACAUUUCUGCUUUCUAUAGAGGGCAUGUCAAGACCUGGUAAGGUUCUUCGCGUUGCCUCGAAUUAAACCACAUGUUCCACCGCUUGUGCGGGUCCCCGUCAAUUUCUUUGAGUUUUAAUCUUGCGACCGUACUCCCCAGGCGGGGUGCUUAACGCGUUAGCUACGCUACUGAGAGGUAACCUCCCAACAGCUAGCACCCAUCGUUUACAGCGUGGACUAC
rnacentral:misc_RNA from 1 species